rnacentral:rRNA from 1 species
AUUCCCCUAGUAACUGCGAGUGAAGCGGGAAAAGCUCAAAUUUAAAAUCUGACGUGUCUUUGGCCGUCCGAGUUGUAAUCUGGAGAAGUGUUUUCUGUGUUGGACCGUGUACAAGUCCCUUGGAAUAGGGCGUCAUAGAGGGUGAGAAUCCCGUCUUUGACACGGACUACCAAUGCUCUGUGAUACGCUCUCGAAGAGUCGAGUUGUUUGGGAAUGCAGCUCAAAAUGGGUGGUAAAUUCCAUCUAAAGCUAAAUAUUGGCGAGAGACCGAUAGCGAACAAGUACCGUGAGGGAAAGAUGAAAAGCACUUUGGAAAGAGAGUUAAACAGUACGUGAAAUUGUUGAAAGGGAAACGCUUGAAGUCAGUCGCGUCGUCCGGGACUCAGCCUUGCUUUUGCUCGGUGUACUUCCUGGUUGACGGGUCAACAUCGAUUUUGGUCGGCGGACAAUGGUGGGGGGAAUGUGGCACCUUUGGGUGUGUUAUAGCCUCCCGUCGGACGCGUCGACUGGGAUCGAGGACCGCAGCACGCCUUUUUGGCCGGGGUUCGCCCACGUAACGUGCUUAGGAUGUUGGCAUAAUGGCUUUAAGCGACCCGUCUUGAAACACGGACCAAGGAGUCUAACAUGCCUGCGAGUGUUAGGGUGGUAAACCCUUGCGCGCAAUGAAAGUGAAAGUUGGGACCUCUGUCAUGGGGGGCACCGACGCCCGGCCUUGAACUUCUGUGACGGUGCCGCGGUGGAGCAUGCAUGUUGGGACCCGAAAGAUGGUGAACUAUGCCNGAAUAGGGUGAAGCCAGAGGAAACUCUGGUGGAGGCUCGUAGCGAUUCUGACGNGCAAAUCGAUCGUCAAAUUUGGGUAUAGGGGCGAAAGACUAAUCGAACCAUU